rnacentral:lncRNA from 1 species
GAGAAAUUGUAACAUUCCUUUGGAAAUACAACGAUGGGGCUACUGAGAAGUUACCUACUUUUGUAAAGAGCCUAAUGAGCUGUGUGUGGGCCCUGCAUUCGAUGACAUCCCAUCUCAAGAUGCUGCUAAUACAAUAGUUAAUUUUUCCUGGUUGAAGAAGUCUAACAGGAACAAAAGCAACGGGUGAAAAAAACAAUGGCUGCUGCAGCUGAUGGUUUGGGAAGUAUAGCUAUAGAUACCACACAACUUAACAUGUCAGUCACUGAUCC